rnacentral:rRNA from 1 species
AGAGUUUGAUCCUGGCUCAGGAUGAACGCUGGCGGUCUGCUUAACACAUGCAAGUCGAACGGGCUCUUCGGAGCUAGUGGCGGACGGGUGAGUAACGCGUGAGAAUCUGCCUUCAGGAGGGGGAUAACGACUGGAAACGGUCGCUAAUACCCCAUAUGCCUCCGGGUGAAAAGUAAUUCGCCUGAAGAUGAGCUCGCGUCAGAUUAGCUAGUUGGUGGGGUAAGAGCCUACCAAGGCGACGAUCUGUAGCUGGUCUGAGAGGAUGAUCAGCCACACUGGGACUGAGACACGGCCCAGACUCCUACGGGAGGCAGCAGUGGGGAAUUUUCCGCAAUGGGCGCAAGCCUGACGGAGCAAGACCGCGUGGGGGAUGACGGCCUAAUGGUUGUAAACCCCUUUUCUCUGGGAAGAAGACUGACGGUACCAGAGGAAUCAGCCUCGGCUAACUCCGUGCCAGCAGCCGCGGUAAUACGGAGGAGGCAAGCGUUAUCCGGAAUUAUUGGGCGUAAAGCGUCCGUAGGUGGUUAUUCAAGUCUGCUGUCAAAGCGUGGGGCUUAACUCCAUAGAGGCAGUGGAAACUGAGUGACUAGAGUGCGGUAGGGGUCGAGGGAAUUCCCAGUGUAGCGGUGAAAUGC